rnacentral:rRNA from 1 species
CAGUCGCCGCGGGAAUACGGAGGGUGCAAGCGUUAAUCGGAAUUACUGGGCGUAAAGCGCACGCAGGCGGUUUGUUAAGUCAGAUGUGAAAUCCCCGGGCUCAACCUGGGAACUGCAUCUGAUACUGGCAAGCUUGAGUCUCGUAGAGGGGGGUAGAAUUCCAGGUGUAGCGGUGAAAUGCGUAGAGAUCUGGAGGAAUACCGGUGGCGAAGGCGGCCCCCUGGACGAAGACUGACGCUCAGGUGCGAAAGCGUGGGGAGCAAACAGGAUUAGAUACCCGCGUAGUCCCUGUCUCUUAUAC